UGUCGAAAAGGGCAAACCUGUCGAAAGGCAGGGACGCAAAGCUAUGGGCCUAAGGCAUAUCAUGCUAUGGCUGCCAGGCUGCCGAA
rnacentral:ncRNA from 1 species